rnacentral:misc_RNA from 1 species
AAAAAAUAUGAUUUGUGUGGUAGGUUGGUUGGUCUUGGUUGUUGCAUUCCCUAUAAAGUCCAUCUUCUGGUAUAGAUCUCGCGCUCUUGUUUCAUUAUAGAGUAGAUAAGUUGGAAACCAUGUCGGACGCCGUUAUUUUGUACCCUUCUUCGGGCAGAGGACAUGUAGUUCCCAUGGUGGAACUUGGCAAACUUAUAAGCAAACACCAUCCUUCUAUCUCAAUUACCAUUAUAAUCCUUACUCUACCAAGCGAAACAACCUCCACUAACUCGUAUAUUGCCACUGUCUCCGCCGCUGCCCCAUCCAUCAACUUUAUUCGUCUCCCAGAAGUCUCUCUCCACCCCCUCCUCCGUUAGAGACAUUGUGGCCUCGUCUUUCGAAAUCCCUCAACUCAAUAAUCGUAACCUCCACCAGGCUAUCCUGACUCUUUCCAGUUCCUCCAACGUCAAAGCCCUCGUUAUCGAUUACUUCUGCAAUUCUGCCGUCCAGGUGUCCUCCUGCCUUAACAUCCCAACUUACUAUUUCUGCGCUGCUUCUGCAAGUGCCCUGUGCCAUUUGCUUUAUUGUCCCACCAUCCAUAAGAAUAUUGCCGAGAGCUUGAAAGAUCUUGACAUCCUAGUUGAUGCUCCAGGGACACCAAGCAUUCCAUCCAAAGAUCUGCCUCUAGUCAUGCUUGACCGAUCUCACAGAGUUUACCAGUAUUUUAUUAACACGGCCAACCAGAUGGCUAAAUCUUCUGGAAUCAUUGUCAAUACGUUUGAAUCGCUAGAACCAAGAGCUAUUAAGGCGAUAUUAGAAGGGAAGUGUACUCCUGACGAGUCUUUUCUUCCGCCAAUAUAUUGCAUAGGACCAAUUGUAUCUACAAGCGAAAGCAAAGAAGAGCAUGAGUGCCUAAUUUGGCUUGACUCACAACCGAGUCGUAGCGUCGUGUUUCUUUGUUUUGGUCGCAUGGGAUUCUUCUCCUCAACUUAGUUAAAGGAAAUGGCUAUUGGAUUGGAGAAAGUGGGUUUAGGUUCUUGUGGGUGGUGCGCAAUCCACCAGCAGAUAAUAAAACCGGAGGCAUUUUAUAUGCAAAAAAACGAAGCCUGGAGUCUUUCUUGCCAGAUGGGUUAUUGAAAAGAACGAAAGACAGGGAAUUUGUGGUGAAAUUAUGGGCGCCACAGGUUGCAAUACUCAAUCAUGGAUCAGUGGGUUUGUUCGUGACUCACUGCGGGUGGAACUCGAUUCUUGAAUCGGUUUGUGCAGGAGUGCCUAUGUUGGCAUGGCCUCUUUAUGCAGAGCAGAAGAUGAACAGGACUUUUUUGGUGGAGCGUAUGAAAAUGGGUUUGAAAGUGAGUGAGUCAGAAGACGGAAUUGUGAGUGCAGCGGAGUUGGAGCAGCGGCUGACGGAAAUGAUGAAGUCGGAGAAAGGGAAAGAGAUCGAAAAGCGAGUUAUGGCAGUAAGAGUGUGUGCGGUGGAAGCGGUCAACAACGGAGGGUCAUCACGAGUAGCCCUGGCCCACUUUGUGGAGUCGCUUUAAGAUGACGCUGCUCUUUAUCUUCACUGUACUCUGAACCAUAAUUAACCAGCCGUGCAUGCCAAUUUGCAAAGCCAGUUAUUGCAUAUUGCCAGGUGCAAUGUUAUCUUACUCGAAAAAAAAAAUGGAUUUUCCGUAAAUUAAUGAGAGCGAAGUCACAUAAAUAUGAGCGAGAAAAUGAAUAAUCUCGCCAUAAAAUAAAGAUAAUGUUCUUUUUAUCUGAGUAAAAUAAAUAUAGUGACUCAUUUUUUUUGUGAGCAAAA